GAUGAACGCUGGCGGCGUGCUUAACACAUGCAAGUCGAACGGGAAACUUUUCAUUGAAGCUUCGGCAGAUUUGGUCUGUUUCUAGUGGCGGACGGGUGAGUAACGCGUGGGUAACCUGCCUUAUACAGGGGGAUAACAGCCAGAAAUGGUUGCUAAUACCGCAUAAGCGCACAGGACCGCAUGGUCCGGUGUGAAAAACUCCGGUGGUAUAAGAUGGACCCGCGUUGGAUUAGCUAGUUGGCAGGGUAACGGCCUACCAAGGCGACGAUCCAAAGGCGGGCUGAGAAGGUGAACGGCCACAUUGGGACUGAGACACGGCCCAGACUCCCACGGGGGGCAGCAGUGGGGAAUAAUGAACAAUGGGGGAAAACCUGAUGGAGCGAAGCCGCGUGAAGGAAGAAGUAUCUCGGUAUGUAAACUUCUAUCAGCAAGGAAGAUAGUGGCGGUACCUGACCAAGAAGCCCCGGCUAACUACGUGCCAGCCGCCGCCGUAA
rnacentral:rRNA from 1 species